rnacentral:rRNA from 1 species
GGUCAAGUUAUUAAGGGUGCAGGGCGGAUGCCUUGGCACUAGGAGCCGAUGAAGGACGUGAUAAGCCGCGAUAAGCUUCGGGGAGUUGCACGUAAACUUUGAUCCGAAGAUUUCCGAAUGAGGAAACUCACUUAGAGUAAUGUCUAAGUAUCAUUAAGAAUACAUAGCUUAAUGAGGGAACUCAGGGAACUGAAACAUCUAAGUACCUGAAGAAGAGAAAGAAAUUGAUUCCGUAAGUAGCGGCGAGCGAACGCGGAUUAGCCCAAACCAAUAAAGUUUUUUUAUUGGGGUUGCGGACAUAUCAUAACGAAGAGGUAUCGUAAUUGAAGAGGUUUGGAAAGACCCACCACAGAAGGUAAUAGUCCUGUAUGUUAAACGAGAAGACUUUAGAUAUGAUCCAGAGUACCACGGGACACGUGAAACCCUGUGGGAAGUAGGAGGGACCACCCUCCAAGGCUAAAUACUACCUAGUGACCGAUAGCGUAUAGUACCGUGAGGGAAAGGUGAAAAGAACCCCGGGAGGGAGUGAAAUAGAACCUGAAACCCUGCACUUACAAGCUGUGGAAGCAUUUCUUGUGUGACCGCGUACUUUGUAGAACGGGCCAACGAGUUACGUUAAGUAGCAAGGUUAAGCACUUAAGGUGUGGAGCCGUAGCGAAAGCGAGUUUUAACUGAGCGUUCAGUUACUUGACGUAGACCCGAAACCGGGCGACCUACCCAUGAGCAGGAUGAAGCGAAAGUAAAAUUUCGUGGAGGUCCGAACCCACGAGCGUUGAAAAGCUCGGGGAUGACUUGUGGGUAGCGGUGAAAUUCCAAUCGAGCCCGGAGAUAGCUGGUUCUCCCCGAAAUAGCUUUAGG